rnacentral:tRNA from 1 species
GAAAUAUGGUAUCAAGAGUAAGCUUCUAACUUAACUCUCAAGCGAUGAAAUUUCGUUUAUAUUUCU